CGCCCCGCCAGGAGCUUCAAUCCACUGUGUGCCCAGAGAUACUCAACUACAGAUAUCCCUCGCAUCGCCCUAGGGAAUGAUUUGUCCAGUGGGAGACCGGGCAGAAGGAAUCCGGGAUGUGGACUAACCCCGCGGGGCUGCCCCUGGAGACGAGGCCUGUGAUUGUCCAGGUCUGUCUGUGCCUGGAGGGUAAGUCAGGAGAAGGGGCGAGACCACUGUCCUCCGAGCCACACUCUCCACGACUCUAUCUGCCCGAUUCCUGUGCUACUGCUUAGCGGGUCCCAAACCAGCGUGGGGCGCAGAGCCCUAAAAUAAUACACGAACCUCUUUCUCUUGUUCGCAUCCACUCAAGAUCUUCCCAAUAUAGCAGCCCGGAGUCUGUCAACAGUUCUGUUCCAUGCCUACUUCCCCUCCCCAAAGGAUGCCAAGUCUGCUGGCCCCUCCCUCGAUGGGGGCAUCUCCCGUCAUGCCUCACUCUCAGCCCCGGCAAGAGGAGACCUCCCCAGAGGUGCUUGGAGAAGCCACCCCAGCUUCCGUCGUCUGGGUCCCUUGGAUGGGACCCGGGCCAGGAUGCAUCUGAGUGGCACUAGGGAAGAGGAGUCCAGGCGACCGGGGAUCGGCUGGACGUGGGGAAGAGGGGAGCCGAAACUGAAGGUGACACUUGGGGCUCUGACUUGAAAUGACUCGGGGAAGAUGGUCCUAUUCACUGAGGUGGGGGGUCCUGGAGAAGGAGCGGUUUGGGGACAGAGAAAGAGAGAUGAGCUUGAGAUCCAGGGAGACAGAGAGGACUGAGAGCGCCUCAAGGGAAUGUCCUUGUGCACAUGCGGACUGGAAGCUCAGGAGAGAGGUCUGGACUUGAAGAAGGUGCCAGAAGGUGGAAUGCAGUCAUCCACGGGAGCACACCCAUUUGCUCCAGUAGCAUUCGGCAAUCAGCGUUGUCACUAAAGCAAUCCCAAUGACUCACUUUACAGAAUUCCCCUCGUGCAUCCCACCAGGGUGCUGCGGGACGGACUGGCCUCUGUCCCCAGAUGUCUGGGACGCAUACCAGCAGCUGCCUUCUCUUUCCCCCUUCCAGCCGCCGCUGUUCCACCCUCCAGGCAACAGAGAGUGUGACCUGGUCUGAGCAUCAGGAGCCCUGGACCCCAUCCCAGCUUUGACCACUGACUUUGGGAAUCGAAACCAAUCAUUUUCUCUCUUAGCCUCCACCUCCUCAACGGUGAAAUGGGAACAAAUAUGGCAGAUACUCUACACACUUAAGGAAUUUGGGUGAAAACUGCCCAAUGAUCUGGCCAGAUCCCCUGAGUCCCGUCUGCCCCCUGCCCCCACCCCGCCAUGGGACCCACGGCGGAUCCUGCCCCAGGUGUGUGGCACACCGUCCCCAUCCUCGGUUGCCUCGUACCCCAGGGGGGCUCCAGGACACUGCUCUGGUCUCCUCCAGCCUGCACGGACCCCCCUGCCCCCAUGCUUCACCAGAUGACCCCGCAGAUCAGAAGAUACCACUAAUAAUGCUCA